GAAGAAAAUGGGUAGCCAUGGAUGAGAAAACAUUCAGCCAAGCUUCUAUGGCCCAUCUAGAUCAAGGAAGACGAGAUUCGGACUUAGAACGGAGAAAAAAUAAAGAAUAUGAUGAAUAAAUCCUUUUCACCGAUUAUGCUACCGAUUGUCACAGAUACUAGCUCGGGUUGGAGAUCGUCGAAGAUUCUAUCACACUAUCAAGCUAUUGAUCAGUAUCAAUGUAUUCAAGCAUUUUAAGUUUAUGGCAUGUAUAGGGACUCAGUCAUUUUGUGUAUGAGUUAUUAUGUUUUGGCCAAAUUUUUUGUCUUGUAAUGGUUAAAGGUUUGAUUUAUGUGUAGCCAUGUAACUUGGCAUAUAUUGGCUAAUUGGUUGCAAGCCUAUAUAUAUGCAUUAAUUAUAUGCCAAUGUCUUGUGAUGUGAGUUGUGUUUGCAUGAUA